CGGCGGACGGGUGAGUAACGCGUGGGUAACCUGCCUCAUACAGGGGGAUAACAGUUGGAAACGGCUGCUAAUACCGCAUAAGCGCACAGUACCGCAUGGUACGGUGUGAGAAACUCCGGUGGUAUGAGAUGGACCCGCGUCUGAUUAGGUGGUUGGUGGGGUAACGGCCUACCAAGCCGACGAUCAGUAGCCGACCUGAGAGGGUGACCGGCCACAUUGGGACUGAGACACGGCCCAA
rnacentral:rRNA from 1 species